rfam:Felis catus isolate Cinnamon breed Abyssinian chromosome C1, whole genome shotgun sequence.
GCCUGGCUGGCUCAGUCGGCUGAGCGUCCAACUUCAGCUCAGGUCGUGAUCUCACAGUUCGUGGGUUCAAGCCCCGCGUCGGGCU